GGAGAGAGUUACUGCUGCAGGCUUGAAAAAGCUGAACUGUCCUUUCCCAAACAAAACAGCAACCAAGGAAGUUGGUGGUGGGAGGAUGGCUUCAGGGCUCCAAGCUGGAAGUCAGGAUGCAGGCUCUUCUGUCUCUACCUGCUUGGAUGACCUUGGGCAAGUCCCUUCUUGUCUCUGGGCCUCAGUUUCUUCAUCUACGUGAGGAGGCAUUGGACAAGAGGAUGCCGGAGGCCCCUUCCAGCUCUGAGAGGCCAGCAUUUGGUAUGCAGAAGCAGUCCAGGCAGUACAAUCAGCCAAAACUGAUUAUGAAUUCUGGUUAUACAGCUUCCCAGCUGGGGAACCUUGAGCAAUUCAUCCACCUCUCUGGGCCCCGGUUAUGAAUAAAAUAUAAAAGAAAAUGCAGGCCACAUGAGUUUUGCAGAGCAGACGUAGAAAGCAGAGAAUGAAAAAAAGAAAAAGAGGAGAGAUCUGAAGCCAGAAUGGGCGUCAUGCAAGAGGCUCUAGAGUUGCAGACAGUUGCAGCCCAGAUACGACGUGCAAAGAGAGACAUCCCAGAUCUCCCACACAGAACUCCGGCGCGCUUUGAAGUGUUGACAACACAUAAAAUUAAAAGCAUCACAAUGCGAA